rnacentral:lncRNA from 1 species
AUACACCAUCUGGCAGCCCAUGUGGAUCUGUUUUUUCACAUGUGGGGGCUUCACUCUUGCAAGACUCUACAGUUGCAUUUCCCCAAGCUUGUUCACCAGAAAUUGAGUUGGACACCAGCUCAGGUUCAAGCCCAGCAAGACGUUUUGAAGACCGACGAGACAAGUUAAGCUGCUGCUUGUUCUUGGAUUUCUUCGAGUUUAUCCGUGUUUUUUUAUUGUUGCUCUUUUCUACCUUAGUCUCCUGCAAUUUCUUCUCUGUCAGAAUAUCAGCUGUAGUUGAAACAGGAUCACUAUCAGGUAAAGAAUCCACCAGAGUUUCACCCAUCAUAGUCUUGCAUGGAUUUAAAUUAGUACCCCCAAAGGUUAAGGACAAAUGUGGUUCUGACUUGUCAUCAUUGGCUUCAGCAGAUUGCCCCCCAAUAAUAGCCAGGUUCCCAGAAGAUUUGAUUUUGUUCAAGGGCUUUCUACUUGAUGACACACAUUUUGCAAGUCCCAGUACCACAGAUGCACGAUUUGGAAGUCCCAGCACUGGGCCAGCCUUGAGCUGCUGAGAAACUUCAUCCACCAAACUACUCGAAGUCAAACCUGCAGCCAUGCCUUUACUUUUACAAGAUUCAGUAAUUAUGUUCUUAGGAGCUCGUACUCGUUCAAGGGACUCACAAUUGGCCAUCAUCUCAGGUUCAAGCCCGGCAAGACGUUUCGAAGACCGACGAGGCAAACUAAGCUCUUGCUUGUUCUUUGAUUGCAUUGAGUUUAUACGAGUUUUUCUGCUGCUUCUCUUUUCCCCAUCGGUCGUCUGCAUGCUCGUCUCCUGCAGGAUAUCAGCUGCAGGAUUUAAAACAGGCCCACUAACAGGAUUAGAAUUCACCGGUAGUUCACCAAUCAGAGCCUUGAAUGCAGGUCCCAGGCAUGGAUCUAAAUAAGAAUUCCCAAAGAAUAAGGAUACACGUUGUUCAGACAUGUCACCACUGGUUUCAGCAGAUUUCAACUUUUGCAAUUGCUCUCCAGGAGUGGUCUGGCUUCUUGAAGAUUUGACCUUGUUUAAUGGCUCUCCACUUGAUAGAAUGGUUACGUCAGACGACACAUUUGCAAGUUCUGGUACUGAGCCAGCCUUGAGAUGCUGAGAUACUUUAUUCACCAAGCCCGUAGAAGUCAAAACUGCAGAUGAAAUGACCAUAUUUUUACAUGAUUCUGUAGUUACCUUUUUGGGAGCUUGUUCAAUGGACAUGCAGUUGGACACCAGCUCAGGUUCAAGCCCAACAAGACGUUUUGAAGACCGAAGAGGGAAGUUAAGCUUUUUCCUUUUUGCAGAUUUGGUCAUAUCAUUCAGAGUUUUUCCAUUGCUGCACUCAAUGUGACUAUCAAGUAAUCUUUGUUCUUGAAGACUAUCAAUAAC